UGUGUGUGUUACUGUGCGCACCCGGCUUGGCUUGCUAUCUUUAUUUACUUUUGUGAGUACUGUGAUUUGUAGGCGGAUCUUCUCGCAUCCCAUCUGCCAUGCCGUGGUUUUGCUUGCUUAAUUGCUGUAUUUGCAGAAAAGACAGAGAAGACUAUAUGGAUUCUAAAACCAUCGAACCACAUCAUGUGCCAGUUGCAUCAUCCAAUGUCAUUUCGCGAAGUAAUAAAAUAAUGCCAUCAAAAUCGCUUUCCUCCUCCUGUUCCAGAUCUGGCACACUAACUACAUCCCGACUUCCUGUGCUUGUAAUCAGCGAAAUCAACCUUUAGUACAAAAUGCAUAUGCACCCCGUCCGUUAGACAAUUAGCUUGACGCUGGUGCUUCAUCGAAAACCCGUCUUCCUACCAGGCAAACAAACUCAUCUGCCUCCUCUAGUUUUAAGGCACCCCAUAAGCCCCUUCCGGUCCUUCCCACAGUCUACCGACCAUUUGUGCAACCUUUGAAUUUGCCUCAAUUUUCUGGAUCUAUUUCUAAUAUCAGUGAUUUGUCGAAAUCCCAUCUUACCGUACUUCCAUCUGUACAAAUAGGAACACCUAAAACGAAUAUGUCAUUUACGAAUAUGCCUUCAUCUACUACUCCCUUUUCCGUGGAAGCUUUGACGGAGAUUAUAAUAGAAAUGUCCAUGAAGGUAGAUUUAAUUUACGAUACAAUGUAUCACAAAAAUGCCACAGCCAGAAAAGCGUAAAUUAAUUUUUUUUAUGAAGCAGGAUUGAUUAAUUUUAACGAAAGAUUAAAAUUGGAUAGCCUCUUUAAGUUGGACACAGCACAAAAACUUAUAUUUUAUGUUACAAGUGUUAAAGAUAUAGGAGGUAGACUCAACUUAGUUUCAGAAGUAAUGUUCGAUCGUAAAUUUUUGUCCACUUGUAGUUGGUCGGGGAAAGUAGUGUAGGUGCACGUAAGAUAGAUUUCAAUCAAUUUAUAUACGUACUUCAUUUAUUUAGAGUUGUAGGAGGUAACGGUUGUCUUGAGGCUACGGAUACAUUAGUAAAAAAAGUUUCUUAUGAUGAAACUAGGCAAUGCGUUGACUGCAAGCGAAGCAAAAAAACGAAAAACCGAAGAAUUGCUGUGAUUUUGUUUUAUUGUAAAAGGACUAUGAACAAAGAUGAAUUUCUUAAAAGAUGUGAUGGUUUGUUAACUAGUUAUGUAAGUAAUAAGAGCUAUAUAAUUGAAUAACAAAUGAACUUUUACAACAAACGUUUACUUCGUUAUAAUGAAACCAUGAUCUUUCAUACCAAUUGGCUCAUAUUUUAUUAAUGAAAAUCACCCAACUGCCAGGUUCCAACUAGUUCCAAUUAUAGAAAACCCCUUUCCUUCAAUUGUUAAAAUUGCUACUAGUUUAAUAAAAUAACCAAACUGCUCAUAUUUAUAUGGUUGACAUGUUCUGAUCAUCGUUUAUUAGUCCUUUAUAUUAACAGUUUUAAAAGCCCCCUUCUCUAAUAGUUUAUAAAUAUUGUAGAAUUAAUGUAACAAAUUCUGCAAUAAAUAUAAUCCAGCUAGCA